CCAGCCCAACUGGGGGUUUCUUCUGGUCCCAGCUGAGCUUACUUAUGAUUUUGCAGUCAGCUGUGUGUUUGAAGCUCUGCUGACCUUGACUUAUCUAUGUUUGGAGGUUGGCUGGCAAUGGACACACUGGGAAAACUGCACUUCCAUAUGUGUUUCUCAUUCUCCAGCAGGCUAGCCCAGGCCAGGAGAGAAGCAUGCAAGUCAUCUAGAGGUCCGGGCUUGGAUCUGGCACUUCUAUUGCAUUCAGUUGGCCAAAGUGAAUGGCAGGCCAUCCUAGAUUGAUGGGAAGGAAACUUCAUCUCUUGAUGGGAGUGACUGCCAUGUCAUGUUGUGAAGGGCAGGGAAUCCACAUAGUUUACUGUCCAGUCCAGAACAUCACUUCACCUUUCUCCUGCCAGAGCUACGCUCUUCUUACUCCUGAGUUGGCAGAGGAUGAGCUAGAGGGCAACCUCAGACUCUGAUGGUGCAGUAAGAGUCAAGGAUGAACGACCAGACCCUAGCUCACUGUCCCCCCCCCCUUUUUUUUUUUAGACAGGGUCUUGCUCUGUCAUCCAGGCUGGGGUACAGUGGUGCGAUCUCAGCUCACUGCAACCUCUGCCUCCCUGGUUCAAGUGAGUCUCAUGCCUCAGCCACCCAAGUAGCUGGGUUUAUAGGCAUGAGCCAGUACACCUGGCUAAUUUUUGUAUUUUUAGUAGAGAAGAGGUUUCACUAUGUUGGUCAGGUUGGUCUCAAACUCCUGGCCUCAAGUGAUCUGCCCACCUUGGCCUCCCAAAGUUCUGGGAUUAUGGGCAUGAGCCACAGCACCUGGCCACCCCCUGGCCACUAUUAGGAGGUUGGCAUGACAGAUGAGCAGCCAAUAUCCACUCUUCCCUCCUGCCUGAGAAUGGGCCUAGGAGUACAGUCUGAACCUCUGAGCCACCCAAAUCACUGCCAUUCUGGGGGAAUCUACCAUCAAUUCUAACUUCAAAAGGGAAACUAGAAAUCAGGGAGGUGAAGGCAAUAGGGCUGGCAACUCACCUUCUUUCCACAAACAGGAAGGAUUGAGGCCACUUUAUGGAGAUGGUGACAGUAAUAUGUCUUCGAUACCUGUUGUGUGGUCUGCCAGGUACUCAUUCCCAUUUCCUUCUGAAAGUGUAACUCCAAUUUCUCUUGGAAAACUAUCCCUUGUAGCAUAUCCAUCCUUGUAGCAUAUCCAUCCAUCCAUCCCUUGUAGCAUAUCCUUGCAGCAUAUCCAUCCUUGUAGCAUAUCCAUCCAUCCAUCCAUUGUAGCAUAUCCAUCCUUGUAGCAUAUCCAUCCAUCCAUCCAUUGAUCCAUUGAUCCAUCCAUCCAUCCAUCCAUCUGUCUGUCCAACAAAACUUUGUUGUGUUCCAGUGAUGCCCCAGCUCCUGGGGAUACAGAAACGAACAAGAAAAAGUUCCUGCAUUCAAGAAGUCUACCCUCUGGAGGUAUAAAGCAUGUAAAUAAUCAGACACAAUGCAAAUCCAGAUGAUUAGUGUUAAUGAAGAGGUCAAGCAGAGUGAGAGCACAGAGACUGGGUAAGGUCUCUGGAGAAGUGACAUCCAGUGAGACCUGAAUGAUGGGAAGACCUGGGGGAAGAGCACCCCCAGUCUUUAAUCAUCUGUGCAAAGGCCUAAGACAAGAGAAUCUUCCUCAAGAAGCCACUUUCCAGGCCCUCUUGACUAGAGAAGUGUGUGGACAGAAACCCCAGGCAGAGCAUCUGGGGACACAAAUGAGGAAAUGCUCAGAUUCUGCCAGCAAGGAGCCAGAAGAAGGAAGAGAUCGGCUAGCAAAGGUGACUGCAUAAGAUCAGGUUAAAUACCAAGGAGCCAGAUUGCUGGGUCAUAUGUUGAACUUUAUAAGAAGCUGCCAAACUAUUUUCUGGAGCAGCCGUACCAUUUUGCAUCCCCACCAGCAAUUUAUGAGACUUCUAGUCACUCCACAUCCUUUAUAACACUUGUUAUUAUCAUUAUUUAAAGUUGUAUCCAUUUAAAUAAAUG